AAUUGAUGUAAGGAGAUGACAAAUUUUAUAAAUUAUAAAGUGAUAAAACCAUUUGUCAGUUGUAAACAGGGAAAAUAUGGUUAAAAUUUUCAAGUUUAUUUAUUUUAUGAUUAUCUUUCAUUUUCUAUUUUUUGUUGCAACGAACGGUGUGGGUAAGCUGCUUUUAUCUUUGUCAAAUUUCUUUCUCUAUUUUAUCCUUAAUAUUUUGUUUGUUUUUAGUUACACUCUUGUAUUCUCUUUUUUCAUUUCAGGUUAUAAAUGUAAAAUAAAUGAUGAUUGUCCAACAAAUAUAUGUUUGCUUGGCAGUAAGCCGUUUUGUAAGUACCGUCGUUGUAAAUGUUUAACAGUGUGGAACCAGUAAGAUUUUCAGCCUAUGUGAUUAUGAAGAUGUUUUCAGACCCAAGAAAGUCCACAACAUCUUGCUAGAAUAUCUACCUAUCUAUAUAAGAAAAUAAGAUAUAUGAAAUUCUCAUAUUACCCCUACUU
rnacentral:lncRNA from 1 species